GACGAACGCUGGCGGCGUGCCUAAUACAUGCAAGUUGAGCGAUGAAGAUUGGUGCUUGCACCAAUUUGAAGAGCAGCGAACGGGUGAGUAACGCGUGGGGAAUCUGCCUUUGAGCGGGGGACAACAUUUGGAAACGAAUGCUAAUACCGCAUAACAACUUUAAACAUAAGUUUUAAGUUUGAAAGAUGCAAUUGCAUCACUCAAAGAUGAUCCCGCGUUGUAUUAGCUAGUUGGUGAGGUAAAGGCUCACCAAGGCGAUGAUACAUAGCCGACCUGAGAGGGUGAUCGGCCACAUUGGGACUGGGACACGGCCCAAAAUCCUACGGGAGGCAGCAGUAGGGAAUCUUCGGCAAUGGACGAAAGUCUGACCGAGCAACGCCGCGUGAGUGAAGAAGGUUUUCGGAUCGUAAAACUCUGUUGGUAGAGAAGAACGUUGGUGAGAGUGGAAAGCUCAUCAAGUGACGGUAACUACCCAGAAAGGGACGGCUAACUACGUG
rnacentral:rRNA from 1 species